UAGAGUUUGAUCAUGGCUCAGGAUGAACGCUAGCGACAGGCUUAACACAUGCAAGUCGAGGGGCAGCGGGGAGGUAGCAAUACUUCCGCCGGCGACCGGCGCACGGGUGAGUAACACGUAUGGAACCUGCCCGUAGCAGGGGGAUAAACGGAAGAAAUUCCGUCUAAUACCGCGUAAUAACUCCGAGAGGCAUCUCAUGGAGUUUAAAGGGUAACACCGGCUACGGAUGGCCAUGCGGCGCAUUAGCUAGUUGGCGGGGUAACGGCCCACCAAGGCGACGAUGCGUAGGGGUUCUGAGAGGAAGGUCCCCCACACUGGUACUGAGACACGGACCAGACUCCUACGGGAGGCAGCAGUGAGGAAUAUUGGUCAAUGGGCGCGAGCCUGAACCAACCAAGUCGCGUGAGGGAAGACGGUCCUAUGGAUUGUAAACCUCUUUUGUCGGGGAGCAAAAGACGCCACGUGUGGCGUUCCGAGAGUACCCGAAGAAAAAGCAUCGGCUAACUCCGUGCCAGCAGCCGCGGUAAUACGGAGGAUGCGAGCGUUAUCCGGAUUUAUUGGGUUUAAAGGGUGCGCAGGCGGAAGAUCAAGUCAGCGGUAAAAUUGAGAGGCUCAACCUCUUCGAGCCGUUGAAACUGGUUUUCUUGAGUGAGCGAGAAGUAUGCGGAAUGCGUGGUGUAGCGGUGAAAUGCAUAGAUAUCACGCAGAACUCCGAUUGCGAAGGCAGCAUACCGGCGCUCAACUGACGCUCAUGCACGAAAGUGUGGGUAUCGAACAGGAUUAGAUACCCUGGUAGUCCACACAGUAAACGAUGAAUACUAAUUGUUCGGGGAGAAUGAUCCCUGAGUGAUACAGCGAAAGCGUUAAGUAUUCCACCUGGGGAGUACGCCGGCAACGGUGAAACUCAAAGGAAUUGACGGGGGCCCGCACAAGCGGAGGAACAUGUGGUUUAAUUCGAUGAUACGCGAGGAACCUUACCCGGGCUCAAACGACACAGGAAUACUUUUGAAAGGAGGUAGCUCUACGGAGUCUGUGUCGAGGUGCUGCAUGGUUGUCGUCAGCUCGUGCCGUGAGGUGUCGGCUUAAGUGCCAUAACGAGCGCAACCCCCAUCGCCAGUUACCAGCAAGUCAAGUUGGGGACUCUGGCGAGACUGCCGGCGCAAGCUGUGAGGAAGGCGGGGACGACGUCAAAUCAGCACGGCCCUUACGUCCGGGGCGACACACGUGUUACAAUGGCAGGUACAGAGAGAAGCAAUGCGGCGACGCAAAGCGGAACUUGAAAGCCUGUCUCAGUUCGGAUUGGAGUCUGCAACUCGACUCCAUGAAGCUGGAUUCGCUAGUAAUCGCGCAUCAGCCACGGCGCGGUGAAUACGUUCCCGGGCCUUGUACACACCGCCCGUCAAGCCAUGGAAGCCGGGGGUGCCUGAAGUGCGCUGCCGCGAGGAGCGCCCUAGGGUAAAACCGGUGACUGGGGCUAAGUCGUAACAAGGUAACCGUA
rnacentral:rRNA from 1 species